CACGUAGGGGGCAAGCGUUGUCCGGAUUUAUUGGGCGUAAAGAGCUCGUAGGCGGCUCAGUAAGUCAGGUGUGAAACCUCCAGGCUCAACCUGGAGACGCCACCUGAUACUGCUGUGGCUAGAGUCCGGUAGGGGAGCGUGGAAUUCCUGGUGUAGCGGUGAAAUGCGCAGAUAUCAGGAGGAACACCAGCGGCGAAGGCGGCGCUCUGGGCCGGAACUGACGCUGGUGCACGAAAGCUAGGGGAGCAAACAGG
rnacentral:rRNA from 1 species